AUAAAUAAUACCAUUACUGGUUGUUAAAUCGUGGUCGCACAUUUACAUUACAAGUUACAAAAAUAAUCAUUUUUAUGAUUUAAAACAAACAGGUGAGCAGCACUAACCGGAUGUUCGAAUUUAUUUUUCUAAUUACGUUUGGAAUAAUUACGUCACUUAAAUGAUGAAAACCUUCAAAAAAAAAGUUUAUCUUAAACAUUUUUCGGAAGCUAUAAAAUUUUUGUAAUAAGAAUUGAUCAAUAAAUUCAAAGAAAAGUAAAAUUUAAAAACUCGUUUAGUACGGCCCAGCCUUAUCAUUGAGGUCACGGUGUUUACAUUUUAGCAAGAGUUUAAUCUAGACUAUGAAGUAUUAUACGGAUCAACAAGGUAAUUUAAUUUUAUAGAGUCUUUUGACGAAUUUAAAGAAAAUUUGAUUAAAGUUAUACUCGGAAAUUCUUAUUACUUAUGUUAUAUUAUUCCAGAUAUAUUAAUUUCAACUUGUUUGUAUGUACGACUUGGUAUGUGGUGGGGUGAAUUAGGUAGCUACAUUUCAUUAUUCCAGGUUUCAGUAAUUUUAUAAGGGCCUAUAUAGUUACGAUCAAGUUCGUUGGUUUUCGCGUCAUUUACCAAAAAUACCCAAUUUCCUUAAGAAAACUUAUUAGGGUUUACCCGACAGUCACAAUAUUCCUUUGAUUUGAAUGUAGCUCUGUCUGGAUUUUCAGCAGCUUUUUAAUUGUGUUACUUGACUUAUAAUCGGCAGACUAGAAAUUACACAACAAGUAAGAUUGAUUUUCUGAUUCUUUUCGUCAGCCAUUCAGGGUUUUUAGGGUUCUUGUCAGGUUCAUCGUCUGAGGAAUAAACGUCAUUUAAUAUCGGUUCAGGAAAAGUAUCAUUAUCAUUAAAAGAAUUGGCAGGGAGGUUGGUUUGAACCGGAUAUAAGAAAACUAGAUAUUUAUGACUACAAACAUUUGUUGCUGAUUCCGGAAUAUUUAAAUAUAAACUAGUUUCACUUCUUUUAGAUAACUUCAAUGUUAGUACUUAAGCAUGCAUUUCUAUAAUGUCUCUUUCAUUUUCACACAUUUCAGGCGAGGACGUCCUCUCUGGCAUCUCAUGCAUGGGGGACUCAAACCCCCACACGACAUCCGAGCUCGGUACAACAACUGCUGGGUGGUCCAACCACCCAAGGGACAGGGCUAAUAAACCCCUCUGAAGAGGGCUGCCACUCAUCCAACAACUCGUCUCCCUGGGAAGAGAGUACUGUCCUCGUUCGAGUCUCGCUUUCCGCCUCAACGUCAGGUCGGCGAGUCGUCGGGAAGGCAUCUCUAUCCUUCAGAUAUGUGCACAACGUGCCAAGGGUGGCCAUAAACUUGCUGUUUACGCCACUAUAUUUGGAGGGGGUUGUCCAACAACCCCAGGGAGUCGAUGCCAUAAUUUUUUUUUCACACUCUCUUUUUUUUUUAUCUUUUUCUGUUUUUAUCCAUGCUAAUACUCAACCUACUAUUUCCUAUGAGUUUAUCCUCAAGAAGCGGUUUCCCAAGCUUUGUGUUCUAAAUCAAUAAUAUAUUAAGUAAUUUUAUGUCAAUGGGGUUUCGAGAGAGCGCAUCAACAUUAGCGUUCAAUCGACCUUCCCUAUAAUUGACUUCAUAUUCAUAUUUCCGUACUUCAGCAACCGAUGUAGGAGUUAAGAUAUAGGAAUUUUUAUUCUAUGAGCUCACACCAAUGAUUUAUGAUCUGUGACUUUCAGGAGUUCAGGGGCAGAGUAGUAGGAAGGUAUUUUCUAAUGUCUUCUGGCUGAGAAUUGCACCGAGGGCAUAAAAAGAAGUGUUUGUUGUCGUGACGAAAAGUUUUGAAAGUGGGGGAACUGGAGAAUAAAUUAAUAUCAACUUAUAAUUAAUAUCAGAAUCUAUCGUGAAUUAAAAUUUCUCCAAAUUAAGUAGUUCAUCACUAUUAAUAGUUAUACACGGUGAGGUAAUAUGCUUGUUGUUGUGAGUUUUUAUGGAAGCGUCAUUUUGAAUAAGUUUUGUUUCAUUUGGUCUUCUGUGUGGGCUGUAUUGUCAGUUUGUUGGUCGUUGUAUGCAUUGAAAUUUUGGUUUGAUGUUGUGUUAUUUUCUCUAACCCAAGUAAACCUAUUUUUGCAGAUUUGUGCGAAAUGACCAGGCUUAGAACAUAUUGAACAAAUUACGUUCAUGGAGUUAUUACAGUCUUUUUGUAAUGUCCUCGUCCUCCACAAGAAAAACAAAUAAUCGAAUUACGGUCAAGUCGUCUUAUAUUGUCAUUGUUAUGUGUCUGAGUUACCCGUACAAUAGCCUGGUUAUUAGUUGAUGAUUCCUGUGGCAGUCUGUUAUUGUUAUGAUUUCUUCUAUCUCCAUAAUGAUUGUUCGCAAAUUUGAUAUGAUUUUGGGAACUACUAAUGGAAUAUUGGCUGGAGUAAGGAUUAUUACUACAGUGGGAAUGUAUUUUAAAAAGUGAAUUUCUUUGUUCCAAUUCUUUUUCUAAUUCUACGGCAAGAUCUACUGCUCGCGACAGAGUAAGAGGUUUUUGACUAGCAGCCCACAAUCCUAACUCUCCCCUAAGACCCCGUACAAAGCUAUCUCGAGCUCCUUCUUGGGUACUAGCUAAUAACCCGGUUCGUAUUUCACCCGAAUGCUUAUCCAUAAUUACUUCUGACGUUCCUUGAACGAUUUCGUUGAUUCUAGUAACGUAAUCUACGAUGGUUUCACCAUCCUUUUAAUAAAUAUUCGAAAGUAACGACUGCCAUUGAGAUAGAGUUCUACUCGGCACUAAAGCUCUUUUAAGAUUUCCCAAAAUCCCUUCAAAUGCUAAUCCCGAUUGAUUUGAAAUAUAUUUGCUGGCUUUACCCAAUAUACGAGAUUUUAUCAACUGAGUUAAAUACAAUUUACCAGAUGGAUGUAUUAGAUUUAAGGUUUGAUUAUAAAGUUCAAUAAAAUUAUUAACUGGCAUAUUUUCUCCAUUGAAUACGGGUAUAAGGUUUAUAGCGUCUUUGAUACUCAAAAAUUGGGAAUUACUUGUAUGAACUAGAUUAUUGGUAGCAUAAUUGUGCUCAUUAUUUCCGUAGCCCGCGAGUACCGGUUCAAUUGGUACGCGAUUCGAAUUAUGAACUGGAGUAGCUGGAAUGCUAGGGGUUAUAGAAGGAGAGAUGGUGGAAAAAUUGUCAUUAUUAGUGUUCUGAAUGUCAAUAGAACUAAUCACCACUUCAGUGCUCGCGUCCGAAAUGUGUUCGUCUGUAGUCACUAAAUUAGACAUUUUCGCCUCAAAUCAUGUUAAUGCUUCUAUAGUCUUGAUUCUAUUUGAUUACUAUAUUCAAUAUAUUAAGGAAAUACUAUAUCAAAUUACAGUUGAACUUUUAAUUAUAAUUAUUAAGAUUAUGGAAUUGUAAAUAAUACAAAAUAUUAUAAUGUGUACUUAUUUCGACUGAAACUUAUGUCUGAUAGCAAUUUAAAAGUGUUAAAUAUCAAAUAAUCGUCAAAUUUCAUA